UACGAAGGGAGCUAGCGUUGUUCGGAAUCACUGGGCGUAAAGCGCACGUAGGCGGAUGUGUCAGUCAGGGGUGAAAUCCUGGAGCUCAACUUCGGAACUGCCCUUGAUACAGCACGUCUUGAGUCCGGAAGAGGUGGGUGGAAUUCCUAGUGUAGAGGUGAAAUUCGUAGAUAUUAGGAAGAACACCGGUGGCGAAGGCGGCCCACUGGUCCGGUACUGACGCUGAGGUGCGAAAGCGUGGGGAGCAAACAGG
rnacentral:rRNA from 1 species